rnacentral:tRNA from 1 species
UUUAAUGUGGCAGAAUAGUGCAAUGAGUUUAAGCCUCAUAUAUGAAUUAACUUCUUUUAAAA